UGAUAAGUUUCUCAUCUUCCU
rnacentral:miRNA from 1 species